UACGUAGGUGGCAAGCGUUGUCCGGAUUUACUGGGCGUAAAGAGCGCGCAGGCGGUCGAUUUAGUCGCGUGUGAAAGCCCCCGGCUCAACUGGGGAGGGUCACGCGAUACUGAUCGACUCGAAGGCAGGAGAGGGUAGUGGAAUUCCCGGUGUAGUGGUGAAAUGCGUAGAGAUCCGGAGGAACACCGGUGGCGAAGGCGGCUGGCUGGGCCUGUCCUGACGCUGAGGCGCGAAGGCGUGGGGAGCGAACGGG
rnacentral:rRNA from 1 species